AUAAUGAUACACACGCACUACUUAUAAAUAAGCGUCUCUCAUAGGAAUGAGGGUGGUGGAAUUCCAGUGA
rfam:Listeria monocytogenes EGD-e, complete genome